AAGAGUUUAUUAACUCCUAAACCCAUGUGAACAUACCUUCUGUUGCCUCGGCAGGCCGUGCAGGACCGGUGUUACAGCCGGGCCCGUGCGGAUUACCCUGCCGGUGGCCCUUCAAAACUCUGUCUGAACCUGACUUCUGAACAAAAUACUUAAUAAGUUA
rnacentral:misc_RNA from 1 species